rnacentral:miRNA from 1 species
GUCGCGGCCGUGGCAGGGCUGGGCUGGGCUCUGCAUCUGCAGCGCG